CCUACGGGUGGCAGUAGUCGAGAAUCAUUCACAAUGGGGGAAACCCUGAUGGUGCGACGCCGCGUGGGGGAAUGAAGGUCUUCGGAUUGUAAACCCCUGUCAUGUGGGAGCAAAUUAAAAAGAUAGUACCACAAGAGGAAGAGACGGCUAACUCUGUGCCAGCAGCCGCGGUAAUACAGCGGUCUCAAGCGUUGUUCGGAAUCACUGGGCGUAAAGCGUGCGUAGGCUGUUUCGUAAGUCGUGUGUGAAAGGCGCGGGCUCAACCCGCGGACGGCACAUGAUACUGCGAGACUAGAGUAAGGGAGGGGGAAGCGGAAUUCUCGGUGUAGCAGUGAAAUGCGUAGAUAUCGAGAGGAACACUCGUGGCGAAGGCGGGUUCCUGGACAUUAACUGACGCUGAGGCACGAAGGCCAGGGGAGCGAAAGGGAUUAGAUACCCGUGUAGUC
rnacentral:rRNA from 1 species